UGACAUUGUAUCUCUUUCCCUCAAAUUUUGCAAUAUGAUUCAGUUUGCCAGGAUGAUGUACCACUAAAAUUUAUAGCUCAAUAGUAUGCUUUGAUUAAUUGACACUUAAUUAAACUUGUUAAGGUUUUGAGUUUAGUAAUAAUUGGAUGCUCUAUUCUGCUUCUUUGUAUUUCUUUUUUAUUUUUGUUUUAUUCUGAUGCUAAUAAGUUGAUUUUAUGUCUAGGAGGUAGAAACUACACAGGAUUAGUGUUUCUCCAAUUAUUCUUUCAGACUAGAAAUGAUAAGAAACAAGGACCUAACACUCCCCAAGUCUAAAAACUAUAAAGAAAAUGAAGUGGGGUACUUUUUUUUUUGGUAUCCCGGCAAGUAAAUGCAAAGGAUAUCAUUCCCAAAAAAAAUUAUUGGAAAUUAUAGCUGCCCCUUUGCUACUUAAUUUGCAUACAGAACAAACCGUGUUGUCAAAGACGAUCAACUACUUUUUUCAACAUAUUAGAGUAAUUCAAUGGACAACCCUGUGGUUAACCUCCAAAACCUAGAGUUAUGAGGUAAUUAAGAGAGAGAAUAUUUUGAGGGGGGUGCCUGAUCUCUGCAAAUGGAGCAUAAGAGGAAUCUGCAAAUUGAGCAAGGCUCCUUACACAGAAGAAAUAGACAACUAAUAAUAUCCCAGGAUUCUAUUUUACUGCUUCACCUUGCCAUCACAUUUAUGCAUGCUAUCUCAAAGUUUUCUCGGGUUUCAUUGGAUUAAAGCUAACUUUAUGAUGGAUGAUUGCAUUUUUUAUUUGCUUUUCUAUUCGUCAUUCAUCACUGUUAUAACCAGUUGCUUUAGGGAAGGAUUUAUGUAUCUUUUUCGUAUCAUCUUUUUUUUUCUGGUGUGCUGAUUCUAGAUCCCAUUGAUAGUGUGAUUGGUGGAGCUGAGGUUACAGACCUUAUCUAUGUUUGUGGAUUGCCAUACUAUUUUAUUGAAGCACGUAUUCUAGAAUUUCUCGAGUCCUUUGGGUAGUCAUUCUACUGAAUCUCGAAUGAUUUUUCUCAUGUUUUUAUCUGCACUGAUGAAUGACUCAUGCUUUAUGCAAGGAUAUAUGUUUAAGCAACUUCAAUGGGCUGCCAAUUUCAAAAUAUAACAGGCCUUUGCAUGGGUUUGACCUCGUUAGGGAUAGAGACACAGGAAACUCCAAAGGAUAUUGUUUCUGCAUCUAUAAGGAUCCUCCUGGUAUAGACGUUGUUUGUCUGCUCUUAAUGGGUUAAAAAUGGGUGAUAAAACACCGUCAGGCGUGCUACAGUCAGGUGAUUCGAGAUUGCAUGAAGGAGUGUGAGGUUGAAUUCAUUUCGAUUUGGAUGAAGGGGACUGUAAACUUCAUAAUUGUGGCUUUAGAACAUUAUUGGAUAGUUGUUGGCUAUAUGCUAAAAUGUUGUUUGUGAAUUUCCUAAAAACUGUGAAAACAAACUAAUGAUGUUGCGUCUGUCUACAAUGAAAUGUUUUCAUAUAUGUAUAUUAACUAACAAA